CUCUGCGCAAGUGGCUUGAGCUUUUCAUCCUGGUGACCACAGACUUGGAAACAAACUAAAGCCAGACACAUACUAUGGAUACCAAAGGCCAUACAACAACAAAUUCUCCUUCAACCCCAUGUCAAAGCUGCUCUAGGAUUACAAAUGUUAGUAACAUCUCUGCUAACAACAGCUGCCAAUGUGGCGGUCUUAAAGUCAACAACCGUCAUCCAGCUGGCCACGUUCAGAGAAUUUUCCAGGACCAGGGCUGCCAACCCACCCGUUGCUCUUGUUGCAUGCCCAUCUACCUAGUAAACAACUUCAAUGCUCGCUCCUCUCUGGAUUACUGCAGCUGGUAUAGUGAAGGCAUCAACAGUAAUGAGAAGGAGACCAUGCAAAUCUUGAACAACCGCCUUGCUAACUACAUGGAAAAGGUGCGGAUGCUAGAACGAGAGAAUGCUGAGCUGGAGUCUAAAAUCCAGGAAGAGAGUAACAAAGAGCUCCCUGUUCUAUGUCCUGAUUACCUGUCUUACUACACUACCAUCGAGGAGCUCCAGCAGAAGAUCUUGUGUACCAAGGCUGAGAAUUCCAGACUGGUCUCGCAAAUUGACAACACCAAACUGGCUGCAGAUGACUUGAGAGCCAAGUAUGAAGCUGAGGCGUCUCUACGCCAGCUGGCGGAGGCAGAUGCCAAUGGCCUCAAGCAGAUCCUGAAUGUGCUGACCCUGGGCAAGGCAGACCUGGAGGUACAAGUCCAGUCUCGGAAGGAGGAGCUCCUUUGCCUCAAGAACAACCACGAAGAGGAAAUCAAUUCUUUACAGUGUCAGCUUGGGGAGAGACUUCACAUUGAAGUGACUGCUGCUCCUUCUGUUGACCUAAACCAGGUCCUACAAGAAAUGAGAUGUCGCUAUGAGUCCAUCAUGGAGACAAACCGCAAAGAUGCAGAACAAUGGUUCAGCGCGCAGAUGGAGGAGCUGAAUCAGCAAGUGGUGACCAGCUCUCAACAGCAGCAAUGCUGCCAAAAGGAGAUCAUAGAACUGAGACGCACUGUGAACACUCUGGAGGUUGACCUGCAGGCCCAGCAUCGAAUGAGAGAUUCCCAGGAGUGCAUCCUGACGGAGACAGAGGCUCGCUACACAGCCCUGCUGACCCAGAUCCAGAGUCUGAUUGAUAACCUGGAGGCUCAGCUGGCAGAGAUCCGGUGUGCCCUGGAAAGACAGAACCAAGAAUACGAGAUCCUGCUGGACGUCAAGUCCCGGCUGGAGUGUGAGAUUACUACAUACCGCAGCCUUCUGGAGAGCUUGGAUGGCAAGCUUCCUUGUUAUCCAUGUGCCACUAAGUGUGAGCCUUCCCCUUGGACAUCUUGUAAGUCCAGAGCCAUGGAAUGCACGGCCCCAGCUUGCACAUCCUCAGCCUCCUGUGGCUUACAGGGGCCCUGCAGUGCCUGUGGACCCCUGUCCAGGAUACUGGUUAAAAUCUGCACCAUUACCAAGGAGAUUAAGGAUGGGAAGGUCAUUUCUUCUUAUGAGCAUGUGCAGCCUUGCUUCAUCAUCAGACCUGCCAAAGUCUAACAGCCCAAGGUGAUGAAAAUGACCCACUUUAAUGAAAGAGAGGCCAAUACAUGCUCCUGCCAGAGAGGUUUAAGGAAACUCCCCAGUCCCUUAAGGGAAUGGGAGUUUGUUCUGAUUGUUUGACAAGGAACAUUUAGCUGGAACUCUCAAGAAAUAACCCUUGCUUCUUCCCCUCCCUGUGAAGAGUGACAAAGAAAAACAUAGCUUAGAUUCCUGCUUCAAUCUAUCCAUCAGAGUAAAUGGACUUAAUAUCCACCCAUUUUGCAGAAAAGCAAUAGUGAAUAAUUGCUGCUUGUAAGCGCAAGGCAGUCCCAGUGUGAGAAGGCAUCAUUCAUAUGCCAGCCGUCAUCACGGUUUCUUACAGGAUAGUCACAGAAUAUGUAAGUCAUUCCCAAUAAUAAUCAUUGGACAUUGUCAGAGGUUUUGAGAAAUAAUUCAAAAUCAAACACAGAUGUGAGGUCAAAAGGCCUACACUUGCAUUUCCCAGCUGUGAUGCUGGGGAAAACACUUAGACUUCAUCACACUGAAUUUCUGUGUUUGUUAAACGCUGAUCAUGCCUACUUCACAGGGUUGUUGUGAAGGUCAAAUGAAAUGGCUUGUGUGAUACUGCUUUGAAUGCUGAAAAGCACGACACCAAUGCUAUUUUUAUGUAAGUUUUGCUUUUAGCUACAGCCCUAGACCUAUUUUUGUCAUUACCUCAUUUUAAAUUCUUUCUUCAUGAAUUUAGCCAUCCAGUCAUGAUUUUGGAGUUUUAAUAGUGUUUAACUGUUGGGAGAAAAAAAAAAAGAAACAUGAUUUCCUGUGAUCAAGCCCACAAUUCUACUUAAUAAAGCAUUUUUCAAUUCUCA